GGGGCCAGGGUGGGCCCCCGAGAUCUCCGCUAGGACCCGGCCCCUAGGUCAGGACCCAGAAGGGAGGGAAACUGCGGUUUUUGGUUUCUGUGGCCAGUCGAUAGGCCUCAGGAGGUAGAAGUUUUUAGUUAAAAUCAGUCGUAAGGAAAAUAAGUUUAGUCUCAUUUGUGUUGCCCGUCAGUCAUUUUACGUUCGGGUAGGGGCACGUUAGAUUUUUUAGGAUGGGUCAGCGGAUGUCUGGAUGUGUACCCAGUUAAAGCAAAGUUUAAGUAGCCAGCCCGAACCUGACGGAGACCAACUUGUGUAUGCUGCCUGCUGGGGACAGGAGAGAUCUAGAAUGAAGCCAGUUAAGAUGUGUAAGCUGAAAGAACAUAAGGAUGGAGCAGAAGGGGAACGGGAGGAAAAAAAUAAACCCUGGGAUCCCCUAGACCAUCUGCCUCCUCCUCUCGCUCCAGAGCCCUCCUUGCAACCCCAAAACCCUAUUCCGUUACCUCCUCCUCCAGACCCUAUCCCCAUACCUCUGUCACAUCCUCCGAUCCCACUUCCAUUACGUGCUUCCUCUUCGCCUAACUUCCCACAGUCCCAAACCACCCAGCCGUUGCCUGCUACACCAUCUCAGGUAACUCCCUCCGCUCCCCAAACUCCCCUUGCUCCAACCGUUGUUCCAAGAUUUUCCCCUCCUUCCCAAGUUCCCCUUCCUUUAUCUCCACCACCUACCACCCCGAUGUUAUCUGGGGUGCCUUCCACCCCCUUACCUUCAGUCCUUAUAGCUCCUAGGGACCAAUCCCAAGUUUCCCCGUACCAAGAUCCUGUUCCAGCUUCCCCUGCAUUCCCUGACUCUCUCUCUGCCCCUGUCCUUCCCCCAUAUACCCCGAGUCCCUCAGCUCACCCCGAGCACCCAUUAGCAGAAAUAUCUACCCCGAUGUCUCAGUCCCCCUCACCGAAUAUUGUCCCUAAGCCCCCUCUCCAGUGGGAGAAAUCCCAGCCUUUAGUAGAUAACAAGACUGGGCCCAGGGACUCAUCUUCUCAAACCCACAAUGAAAUCCAAAAAGAGAGUUUAGAUGGAGGCCCAUACUGUAACACACGAUCUCGGGCCUUGCGGACAGACAGAUUAUUCCCCUUAAGAGAAGUACCAAUGGGGGGAGUCCUCGGGGGAGUCGGAUAUGUAAAUGCUCCUCUGACUUCCUCGGAGGUGAGGGGCUUUAAGAAAGAAAUGAGUAACUUAGUAGAGGACCCAGUUGGAGUAUCACAGCAAAUUGAUCAAUUUCUGGGCCCCAACAUUUAUACAUGGGGAGAGCUCACCUCCAUUUUAAGAAUAUUAUUUAGCCCCGAAGAGGUGAAAUUAGUUCGGGCAGCUGCAAUAAAGAUAUGGGACAGGGAAAAUCAAACUGGGAUCCCUGCAGACCGUAAGUUACCAGUAGACGAUCCAGGCUGGAACCCCAAUCGAGCACAAGAUAGGCGAAACAUGGAGGAAUAUCGAACUUUGAUAAUCAGAGGAAUUAGAGAGGCAGUCCCUAAAGGGACCAACUCAAAGUUAGCAUUUGAUUGUUGUCAGGAAAAAGAUGAAACUCCCUCUGCUUGGUUGGGUAGAUUGAAAAA
ensembl:lncRNA